UAACAAAAACAUUAUUAUC
rnacentral:piRNA from 1 species